AACGAACGCUGGCGGCGUGCCUAACACAUGCAAGUCGAACGGAAUUAGAGAGCUUGCUCUUUAAUUUAGUGGCGCACGGGUGAGUAACGCGUAGAUAAUCUGCCUGACGAUCUGGGAUAACACUUCGAAAGAGGUGCUAAUACCGGAUAAGCCCACGGGUUCUUUGGAAUCUGCGGGAAAAGGGGGGGACCUUCGGGCCUUCUGUCGUCAGAUGAGUCUGCGUACCAUUAGCUAGUUGGUAGGGUAAAGGCCUACCAAGGCGACGAUGGUUAGAUGGUCUGAGAGGAUGAUCAGCCACACUGGAACUGAAACACGGUCCAGACUCCUACGGGAGGCAGCAGUGGGGAAUUUUGCGCGAUGGGCGAAAGCCUGACGCAGCAACGCCGCGUGAGUGAUGAAGGCUUUCGGGUCGUAAAGCUCUGUCAAUGGGAAAGAAGUGUAUUUGGGCUAAUAUCCUUAAUACUUGACGGUACCCAUAAAGGAAGCACCGGCUAACUCCGUGCCAGCCGCCGCUGUAAUAC
rnacentral:rRNA from 1 species